rnacentral:tRNA from 2 species
GCCCCCUUCGUCUAGCGGCCCAGGACCCCGCCCUUUCACGGCGGUAGCGCCGGUUCGAAUCCGGUAGGGGGUGCGA